rnacentral:rRNA from 1 species
UACUAUUUAACUUAGGUACAACCCUGCCCUCUGACUUUUAACAGCCGCGGUAUCCUAACCGUGCUAAGGUAGCAUAAUCACUUGCCUAUUAAUUAUAGGCUAGAAUGAACGGGAUCACUCACUUAAACUUAUUUUUAUUUAAAUUUAAAUUAAACUUUAAGUCAAAAUACUAAAUUAAAAAGAAAGACAAAAAGACCCUGAAAACUAUUAGAAAUAAUUAGUUGGGGCAACUAUAGACCACUCUAGCGUCUAUUUUUUUUAAACUCUUAAAAUCUAAAGUAUCCAGUUACUUCAGGGAUAACAGACUAAUUUUAUUAUUUAGACCCAAUAAAUAAUAAAGAUUGGCACCUCGAUGUUGGCUUAUAUUUCCUUCAUAUAGCAACAUAUAUAGAAGGCAGCUUGUUCAUCUGUUAAAUAUUUACAUGAG